GUGCUGGCUUCGGCAGCACAUAUACUAAAAUUGGAAUGAUACAGAGGAGAUUAGCAUGGCCCCUGUGCAAGAAUGAAGUGCAAAUUCAUGAAGUGUUCCGUAUUUUU
ensembl:snRNA U6 U6 spliceosomal RNA